UCGGGGGGGGGGAUUGGUGCUUGCAUCAUGAUUUACAUUUGAGUGAGUGGCGAACUGGUGAGUAACACGUGGGAAACCUGCCCAGAAGCGGGGGAUAACACCUGGAAACAGAUGCUAAUACCGCAUAACAACUUGGACCGCAUGGUCCGAGUUUGAAAGAUGGCUUCGGCUAUCACUUUUGGAUGGUCCCGCGGCGUAUUAGCUAGAUGGUGGGGUAACGGCUCACCAUGGCAAUGAUACGUAGCCGACCUGAGAGGGUAAUCGGCCACAUUGGGACUGAGACACGGCCCAAACUCCUACGGGAGGCAGCAGUAGGGAAUCUUCCACAAUGGACGAAAGUCUGAUGGAGCAACGCCGCGUGAGUGAAGAAGGGUUUCGGCUCGUAAAACUCUGUUGUUAAAGAAGAACAUAUCUGAGAGUAACUGUUCAGGUAUUGACGGUAUUUAACCAGAAAGCCACGGCUAACUACGUGCCAGCAGCCGCGGUAAUACGUAGGUGGCAAGCGUUGUCCGGAUUUAUUGGGCGUAAAGCGAGCGCAGGCGGUUUUUUAAGUCUGAUGUGAAAGCCUUCGGCUCAACCGAAGAAGUGCAUCGGAAACUGGGAAACUUGAGUGCAGAAGAGGACAGUGGAACUCCAUGUGUAGCGGUGAAAUGCGUAGAUAUAUGGAAGAACACCAGUGGCGAAGGCGGCUGUCUGGUCUGUAACUGACGCUGAGGCUCGAAAGUAUGGGUAGCAAACAGGAUUAGAUACCCUGGUAGUCCAUACCGUAAACGAUGAAUGCUAAGUGUUGGAGGGUUUCCGCCCUUCAGUGCUGCAGCUAACGCAUUAAGCAUUCCGCCUGGGGAGUACGGCCGCAAGGCUGAAACUCAAAGGAAUUGACGGGGGCCCGCACAAGCGGUGGAGCAUGUGGUUUAAUUCGAAGCUACGCGAAGAACCUUACCAGGUCUUGACAUACUAUGCAAAUCUAAGAGAUUAGACGUUCCCUUCGGGGACAUGGAUACAGGUGGUGCAUGGUUGUCGUCAGCUCGUGUCGUGAGAUGUUGGGUUAAGUCCCGCAACGAGCGCAACCCUUAUUAUCAGUUGCCAGCAUUAAGUUGGGCACUCUGGUGAGACUGCCGGUGACAAACCGGAGGAAGGUGGGGAUGACGUCAAAUCAUCAUGCCCCUUAUGACCUGGGCUACACACGUGCUACAAUGGAUGGUACAACGAGUUGCGAACUCGCGAGAGUAAGCUAAUCUCUUAAAGCCAUUCUCAGUUCGGAUUGUAGGCUGCAACUCGCCUACAUGAAGUCGGAAUCGCUAGUAAUCGCGGAUCAGCAUGCCGCGGUGAAUACGUUCCCGGGCCUUGUACACACCGCCCG
rnacentral:rRNA from 1 species